ACGGAAUAGAUACCCGGGUAGUCCACGCCCUAAACGAUGUCUACUAGUUGUCGGGGAUUCAUUUCCUUGGUAAACGCAGCUAAACGCGUGAAAGUAGACCGCCUGGGGAGUACGGCCGCAAGGUUAAAACUCAAAGGAAUUGACGGGGACCCGCACAAGCGGUGGAUGAUGUGGAUUAAUUCGAUGCAACGCGAAAAACCUUACCUACGCUUGACAUGCCAGGAACUUUCCAGAGAUGGAUUGGUGCCCGAAAGGGAACCUGGACACAGGUGCUGCAUGGCUGUCGUCAGCUCGUGUCGUGAGAUGUUGGGUUAAGUCCCGCAACGAGCGCAACCCUUAUCCUUAGUUGCUACGCAAGGGCACUCUAGGGAGACUGCCGGUGACAAACCGGAGGAAGGUGGGGAUGACGUCAAGUCCUCAUGGCCCUUAUGUGUAGGGCUUCACACGUCAUACAAUGGUCGGUACAGAGGGUCGCCAACCCGCGAGGGGGUAGCCAAUCCCAGAAAACCGAUCGUAGUCCGGAUUGCAGUCUGCAACUCGACUGCAUGAA
rnacentral:rRNA from 1 species